GUCCUAGCCGUAAACGAUGUGCACUAAGUAUGGGCCUCUCCCAUGAGGUCCGUGCCGAAGGAAAUCUAUUAAGUGCACCGCCUGGGGAGUAUGACCGCAAGGUUAAAACUCAAAGGAAUUGACGGGGGCUCGCACAAGCGGUGGAGUAUGUGGCUUAAUUCGAAGCAACGCGAAGAACCUUACCAGGGCUUGACAUGUGGGUAGUAGGACCCCGAAAGGGGAACGAUUGCCGCAAGGCAAAGCCUUCACAGGUGUUGCAUGGCUGUCGU
rnacentral:rRNA from 1 species